UUCAUAGAAAAUCCUCAUUCAUCAAAGUAGACGAUAUGGAGAAAGACGACUAUAGUGAUCCUGAAGCAACUCCGUUGAUCGAUGUAAGUGAAUUUCGUCGUCGGUCUUUUUACCGAGCCAUAAUCGCCGAGUUUGUAGCAACAUUAUUUUUCCUAUACAUCUCUGUCACUGCAUUGAUCGGGUACAAAAACGAACCAGACAAAUGCAACAGCAUAAGUCUGCUUGGAAUCGCAUGGGUGUUCGGAGGCAUGAUUUUCGUACUAGUCUAUUGCACCGCUGGUAUCUCCGGAGGUCAUCUCAAUCCAGCAGUUACCUUCGGAAUGCUCAUCGCACGGAAAUUAUCUCUUCCACGUGCCGUCAUGUACAUGGCGGCACAGUUUCUCGGUGCAGUUUGUGGGGUUGGCUUUGCCAAAGCCAUCUCUGGAUCAGACAACUACACUUAGGUAGGAGGAGCUACUAAUUCCAUAUCAUCUGGAUACACUAAAGGUUCUGCACUAGGAGUAGAGAUUCUGGGAACUUUCCUUCUGGUUUUCACUGUUUUCUCCGCGACUGAUCCCAAGAGAAAAGCCAGAGACUCUCACGUCCCGAUCCUCGCACCAUUGGUUAUAGGAUUUGCCGUCUUCAUGGUGCACUUAGGGACGAUUACUAUUGGAGGAACGGGCAUUAAUCCGGCUAGGAGCUUUGGGGCGGCUGUUAUUUAUAAUAACCACAAGGCUUGGACUGAACUUGUAUGUACAUCUCUUCAACCCUUUCUUUUUUUUUCUUUUUUUUAUAGAAAAGCAUUUGCCCUCUAAUUUUAAAACUUACACAUAUUAUUUUCAUUUUAUAUUUUCUACUUUACCUAUCUCAUGUUGAUUCUACGUAUCUUUAUAAAAUGUACGUUCAGGAUAUGAGUUGUAGAAAAAAACUUCAACCAACUUAAUGUGUGGUCUUUUUCAUCUUUUAACCGAAAAAAACUUAUCCCACAUAAUAAAUUUACCUUUUAUCAAGUUACAGCUUUGUCCUUGUAAGAACUAUCCAUUUUUUUACCUACUUAUUGAUUUUUGUUGCUGUUAAUUAUAUUUUACAGUGGGUCUUUAUACUUGGACCGUUGAUUGGAUCGUUUAUAGCAACAGGGUUUCACCAGAUUAUCAUUCGAGCAUCGAACUUCGAAAGGAUUGUCAAUUCCUUUGCAACCCCAUGAAUUGAAAAGAAUAUAUAGUUUCUCAAUGAACAUCUAAAUUUUGUAUUUUGUAUGUUCAAUUACUCAAAAUUUGAUUUACCUUGUUGACCAAUGUUUUACACUCUUCAAAACCAAUUCAUUUAAUCUAGAUUAUAAAAUAGGCAACAGUUGUAGUCCUACAUGUUGAAGAUAAGUGGUACAUUAGUAUAGGAUAGACCAUAAUAGGUAAUUAAGGAAAAUAUAUAAUUCACUAUGACAUCCUAAUAAUUAGUAAUAAUUAUAAUAAGAAACAUGAAGAUUAGAAAUCAUUAAACUAUUAAUAAUUAGUACUAAUAAAGUGGGUAAAUUACGCUAGACAUUCUGACAGUAGUACAAAUCUGGCAGUAGUACAAAUCUGACAAACAGUACAGACGAAUAUGUACAGUAGUACAGACGAAUAUAUGUAGACGCAAUCGCAUCGUUAUUAAAGACGGAAAAAAAUGAAAAACGACUUUAUGAAUAGUGAUUUGGAAUGACUGGUUGGCAGCUAAUUGUCUCCAUGCCUCGAGAUGAUGUCCAAUGGUGGUUCAAUAACUGAAAAACUGGUAGUACGAAAAGUUGACCUUUCGAUUUGAUUUAGAGCCACGUAAAUCGUUCAAAUAGGUGCAGAUGUAUUUGAAAUUAGUUGGGUUGAGUUGGAUAUUGGUCAUGAUACUUAACUGACUAGGUGCAGAUGUAUUUGACUUGUAGAUUUAAUUAUUAUUUAUUAUAGAAUAAGACAUAAUGAAUCUUCUAUAAAUAUCCAAAAUUCAUAGAAAAUGGUUCAUAUAGCAGAAUACAAUGGUUCAUAGAAAAUCCUCAUUCAUCAAAGUAGACGAUAUGGAGAAAGACGACUAUAGUGAUCCUGAAGCAACUCCGUUGAUCGAUGUAAGUGAAUUUCGUCGUUGGUCUUUUUACCGAGCCAUAAUCGCCGAGUUUGUAGCAACAUUAUUUUUCCUAUACAUCUCUGUCACUGCAUUGAUCGGGUACAAAAACGAACCAGACAAAUGCAACAGCAUAAGUCUGCUUGGAAUCGCAUGGGUGUUCGGAGGCAUGAUUUUCGUACUAGUCUCACUAUAAGAAAAGAGGUCUACAGCGACGAUUUUAGCGACGAUUUUGGAUCGUCGUUAAAUUACAAGAAGGAUUUUGAAGAAAACCCGCGAUAUUCGUCGUUGAUUAUCUUUUUUUUUGUUUAAUUAGCGAUGAUAUGUUGAUGAUCGUCGUUAGAUAUAACAUUUAGCGACGAUUUAAAAUUUAUCAUCGCUAAUAAUGCGGACCUAUUUAUAAAAUUUUAAAAAAAUAAGGUAUUAUUUAUAAAUUUCCCAAAAGUAAUGUUAUUUCCCCCCCAAAUCGAUUUCCCCCCAAAACUCCCAAAACCCAAUUUAUUAAAUUAGGACCAAUUUAUUAAAUUACCCAAUUAAAUUCCCAAAUUUCCCCAAAUACUUCCCCUAAACCUAAACCCUCCAUUUACCCCAAAUUUUUCCCAAAUUAAAAUACUAAAGUUGAUUAUUUAAAGGUUAAAAAUUUAAAAUACCCAUUUAUAAAAUAAGUAUUUAAACCCAAACCCCUAAAUUAAACUCACCGAAAAAACCCCAAAUCCUACAUCGUCUUUUCUUCCCUCCUUACACUCUCCGGCGAUUUUCCAAUCCAACCUCUGUCGACGUGGCGAGGAGUUCCUCCGGUGACAGAAGCGACUUUCCUCUGGUGAGUUUUAUUUACCUUUGGCCGUAGACUUUCCUCUGGCCGUGUUCUUAUUAUCUAAAUUUACUCUACUGUCAAGUAUCUCAUAACUCAAGUCAUUAUUUCUAACACAAUCUCUUACCCAACUCACAAGAUCACCAUCACCAUCACAUCCACUUCCUUCUAAUUGUUGUAUAGAUUUUCUCCCUGUCACCCAGUUCUAGCAAAACAACUCCGUAGCUAUAGAUAUCACUUUUCUCUGUUACCUUCAUUGUAUAUGCAUAUUCUGCAGGGAAAGAAAUCACAAAAACAAAACAAAAGGUGUUAUUAUAAUUGCAAAUUUGCAUAUUCCAAUCUCAUUUCCCUCCAUUUCAUUUCCCCUAAUCUUGUUUCCCCCCAUUUCAUUUUCCCCAAUCUCAUUUCCUCCAAUAUUUUCCCCUGGCUUCAAUAUUACAACAUCGUUUCUUUCCCAUUCUUUCAGCCUAACCUUCCACAACCCUCAAUAAUCCAUCACUUCCAUGAUCGUGACCUAACCUUCCACAACAUUUAUGGACUGAGACAACAUAUUCCAGAAACGCUAAGUAAUUAAUACAUCAAUUUGAUUCUUCUUUGGUUUUCUAUAUUCUUCUUUUUCAUUUAGGCUUUUCAUUUUCUAUUUUUCCUCUUUUAUUCCUUAAUCUUCCUCUCUUCCUCUUACAUUCUCUUCUUUUUCCAUUUUAUUCUUCAUCGUUUAAUCUUUCUCUUUUUCUCAUUCUUGUUCAAGAUUUUCUGCUUUAAAACCUAGAUAUUGAAAAAUAAUUUUAGGGUUUGUCAUUCUUUUUAAUACUGUUUCGUUUUUGAUGCAACAAGUUUUUUUAUUGAAUUUGUUGGUAUAAAAUCUACUUCAAAAAGGAAUUGGUUCUAUCGAAUGUUUUGUAAGUCUAAUGUUUAAAACAGUAAAUAAAGAAUUUGGAUAUAAAGUAAAUAGAUCAUGUGUCACAACAUCUUAUCAUUUGAAUCUGUUAUCUUUAUCUUUUAAAUGGCCAAGUGUUAAAAAACUGUAAUUUGGGUAUAAGGAAUUUCCAAUGUUCUUCAACACCUGUCCGCCAUGUGCCAUGACAUCUUAUGUGAAUUCAUUAUCUUUUCAUUUUAGAUGACCAACUGUCAAAAAUCUGUAAUUUGUAAAAUAAUUUAUACGUAUUUUGUAAAUAUUAUAAUUGCUUAUGUAGGUAUCUACAUCUAUUUUUAAGGUUACGUUAUAUAUGAAAUAUAUUUUAUCAAUUUUGGCAUUCUAUUUAGCAUUAUGUUUUGCUUGUAUAUAUAAAUCUUAAAUGUUUUGCUGAUUUUUUUCUUUUAAAAUUUUAAAUGUUGUUUGAUUAUUAUUUUUUCAUUUUCAGAUUGAUUAGAAGAAGAAUAUAAAAAGCAAAGAAGGUAUCUUGUCAUUUAUUUAAUUUUAAGAUUUUAAAUCUAGGUUCUCAAAAUAACUUUGAUUUUAGAAAUGUCCAUACUCAAUAAUUCAUUCUCUGCACACUUGGAUCUCCUUUCUGUAUUUUUUUACAUAUUUGGGCAUUAUUUUGCUGAUUUGCUUGUAUUUUUUUUUCAUAUUUGGGGUUUUCAUUUUUAUUAGCAUUAUGUUGUUGUUGCUGAUUUGCUUGCUGAAUUCCUUAGCAUUUCAUUUAGCAUUAUGUUUGAUUAUAUAUAAAUCUUAAAUGUUUGUUGCUGAUUUAUUUGCUUGCUAAUGUUUGUAUUUUGCUUCUAUAUAUAAAUCUUAAUUGUUUUGCUGAUUUUUUUUUUAAAAUUUUAAAUGUUGUCUGAUUUUUUUUUUCUUUUUCAGAUUGAUUAGAAGAAGAAUAUAAAAGGCAAAAAAGGUAUCUUGUCAUUUAUUUAAUUUUAAGAUUUUAAAUCUAGGUUCUCAAAAUAACUUUGAUUUUAGAAAUAUCCAUACUCAAUAAUUCAUUCUCUGCACACUUAGAUCUCAUUCAACUAUCAAUAUCUCAUUUAUCCCUUUCAAUCAUUUCUGGUUAUGGAGUAUUAUAUCUCAUGAGAAUGAUUCAUAUGAGACAUCUUGGAUAAUGAGAUAUAACAUCUCAUUCGUUCCAUUUAUCCAACUUAUCUCUUCCCAAAAGUAAUGUUAUCCCCCCCUCCAAAUCGAUUUCCCCCCAAAACCCCCAAAACCCAAUUUAUUAAAUUAGGACCAAUUUAUUAAAUUACCCAAUUAAAUUACCAAAUUUCCCCAAAUACUUCCCCUAAACCUAAACCGUCCAUUUACCCCAAAUUUUUCCCAAAUUUCCCCAAAUGGGGACUAAUAAUGGACAAGUUUUUGGCACCAGAGUUCGUAGAAAAAUCAAAAAAGAAUUCAGCAAAUCGAACUAAAAACGACGAUUAUUUGGUGUACAAGGGUGGAUCGGCUUCUUUUGAAGCCAACUCUCAUGCAUUA
rnacentral:lncRNA from 1 species